rnacentral:rRNA from 1 species
CCUACGGGUGGCAGCAGUGAGGAAUAUUGGUCAAUGGCCGAGAGGCUGAACCAGCCAAGUAGCGUGAGGGAUGACGGCCCUAUGGGUUGUAAACUUCUUUUGUCGGGGAGUAAAAAGAGUCACGUGUGACUUUUUGAGAGUACUUGAUGAAUAAGCAUCGGCUAACUCCGUGCCAGCAGCCGCGGUAAUACGGAGGAUGCGAGCGUUAUCCGGAUUUAUUGGGUUUAAAGGGUGCGCAGGCGGGUGUUUAAGUCAGCGGUAAAAUUUUGGGGCUCAACCCCGUACUGCCAUUGAAACUGGAAGCCUUGAGUACACGAGAGGUAUGCGGAAUGCGUGGUGUAGCGGUGAAAUGCAUAGAUAUCACGAAGAACUCCGAUUGCGAAGGCAGCAUACCGGCGCGCAACUGACACUGAUGCUCGAAAGCGUGGGUAUCAAACAGGAUUAGAUACCCCAGUAGUC